rnacentral:tRNA from 1 species
GCCGAGGUGGCGGAAUUGGCAUACGCGUCGGUCUCAAAAACCGAUGAGGGCAACCUCAUGCGGGUUCAAGUCCCGCCCUCGGCA